rnacentral:rRNA from 1 species
GGUCCUGAUUUUAUCAGGAUAGUGGCGAACGGGUGAGUAACGCGUAAGUUACCUGCCCCUAAGAGGGGAAUAACCUCGGGAAACCGGGGCUAAUACCGCAUGUGGUGGUGGAGUUAGGCUUCACCACUAAAGCCUUUGGGCGCUUGGGGAUGGGCUUGCGGCCGAUUAGCUAGUUGGUGGGGUAAUGGCCUACCAAGGCUAUGAUCGGUAGCUGGUCUGAGAGGACGGUCAGCCACACUGGGACUGAGACACGGCCCAGACUCCUACGGGAGGCAGCAGCAAGGAAUUUUGGGCAAUGGGCGAAAGCCUGACCCAGCAACACCGCGUGGGGGAUGAAGGCCUUCGGGUCGUAAACCCCUUUUCCCAGGGAAGAAUAAUGACGGUACCUGGGGAAUAAGUCUCGGCUAACUACGUGCCAGCAGCCGCGGUAAUACGUAGGAGGUAAGCGUUAUCCGGAUUUACUGGGCGUAAAGAGGGCGUAGGCGGCUUUUCAAGUCGGAUGUGAAAUCUCCCGGCUCAACUGGGAGGGGUCAUUCGAUACUGAUGGGCUAGAGUGCAGCAGGGGGAGACGGAAUUCCCGGUGUAGUGGUGAUAUGCGUAGAUACCGGGAGGAACACCAGAGGCGAAGGCGGUCUCCCAGGCUGUUGCUGACGCUGAGGCCCGAAAGCGUGGGUAGCGAACAGGAUUAGAUACCCUGGUAGUCCACGCCGUAAACGAUGGACACUAGGUAUGGG